AGCGCUCCGUAGUUUCUGCGCUCCAGGUCCACUACCUGGUGAAACUAGACAUCAGGGACAUGCGCUCCAAAGUUCGGGCUGUCCACGUCCUUGACCUGGUGACUUUUGACCUUCAGGACUAAUUUUUCCUAGUUCUGACUGUCCUGGUUUUCCACCUUGUGGAUUUUGACAUCCAGGAAAAACGAGGUAUGACCCGAAGUGGUGGACGGUGGUUGGAGGUGCUCGGAGGUGCACGAGGAAAAGGACGAGGAAGACAAAGAGAUGAAGGUGGACGAGGUGGACGAGGAUUUGUGCUCGUAUUUGACAACAGUGAUACCUUAUCACGUGGACAGUGGCCCACCUGAUGAUCAAGCCUUACAAGUCCUCAUUAAGAUAUUGAAGGCUAUUAAUGAGGAUAGUCCAACGGUGCCCACAUUAUUAACGGACUACAUAUUGAAAGGUGGGUUGAUUUCUUUCACCUUGUCUUGAAUCCGUGCGAGAUAAACACUUGUAUAUUUCACGGUCCCGUUAUUAUCAUGAGGUUGAAGUUCGUAAUGUUAUUCAGGCUA